rnacentral:tRNA from 1 species
UCUUUUGUGGCUCAGAUGGUAAAGAAUCUGCCUGUAAUGCAGGAGACCCAGGUUCAAUCCCUGGGUUGGGAA